UACGUAGGGGGCUAGCGUUAUCCGGAAUUACUGGGUGUAAAGGGAGCGCAGGCGGCGCGGCAAGUCCGAUGUGAAAACCCCCGGCUCAACCGGGGGACUGCAUUGGAAACUACCGGGCUGGAGUGCCGGAGAGGUAGGCGGAAUUCCUGGUGUAGCGGUGAAAUGCGUAGAUAUCAGGAGGAACACCAGUGGCGAAGGCGGCCUACUGGACGGUGACUGACGCUGAGGCUCGAAAGCGUGGGGAGCAAACAGG
rnacentral:rRNA from 1 species